rnacentral:rRNA from 1 species
CACGUAGUUGGCCGGUGCUUCUUCUCCAGGUACCGUCACUUGCGCUUCGUCCCUGUCGAAAGAGGUUUACAACCCGAAGGCCGUCAUCCCUCACGCGGCGUCGCUACAUCAGGCUUCCGCCCAUUAUGCAAUAUUCCCCACUGCUGCCUCCCGUAGGAGUCUGGGCCGUGUCUCAGUCCCAGUGUGGCCGGUCGCCCUCUCAGGCCGGCUACCCGUCGACGCCUUGGUAGGCCAUUACCCCACCAACAAGCUGAUAGGCCGCGAGCCCAUCCCCAGCCGAAAAAACUUUCCACAACCCACGAUGCCGCAGACUGUGAAUACCCGGUAUUAGCCCCCGUUUCGAGGGUUAUCCCAAAGCUGAGGGCAGGUUACUCACGUGUUACUCACCCGUUCGCCGCUCGAGUACCCCGAAGGGCCUUUCGCUCGACUUGCAUGUGUUAAGCACGCCGCCAGCGUUCGUCCUGAGCCAGGAUCAAACUCU